UAAGAAUAAGAGGUCCUGCCUGCCCAGUGACGCAAGUUUAACGGCCGCGGUAUUUUGACCGUGCUAAGGUAGCGCAAUCACUUGUCUUUUAAAUGAAGACCCGUAUGAAUGGCAAAACGAGGGCUUAACUGUCUCCUCUAUCCAGUCAAUGAAAUUGAUCUCCCCGUGCAGAAGCGGGGAUAUAACCAUAAGACGAGAAGACCCUAUGGAGCUUCAGACAACAAUACAGCCCACCCCCCUAGAUUCCAAAUAAACGAACACACUUAGUGGCCCCUGUAUUAAUGUCUUCGGUUGGGGCGACCGCGGGGAAAUACAAAACCCCCAUGUGGAAUAAGAGCACUAAAACCCCUCAGUCCAUGCUCUUAAAAGCUAGAGGGACACCUCUGACUAACAGAACUUCUGACCUUAAAUGAUCCGGCUUGCCGAUCAACGAACCAAGUUACCCUAGGGAUAACAGCGCAAUCCUCUUUUAGAGCCCAUAUCGACAAGAGGGUUUACGACCUCGAUGUUGGAUCAGGACAUCCUAAUGGCGCAGCAGCUAUUAAGGGUUCGUUUGUUCAACGAUUAAAG
rnacentral:rRNA from 1 species